UUCCGGUUGAUCCCGCCGGACCCGACUGCUAUUUGGGUGAGGAUAAGCCAUGCGAGUUGAAUGGGAUACCUAAAGUUCCCAUAGCAAACUGCUCAGUAACACAUGAUCAACUUACCCUAUAGAGAAAAAUAACCUCGGGAAACUGAGGAUAAUGUUUCAUAGUUGAAUUGGCUUGGAAAAGUUUUUCGACGAAAGGGGUAAAAAAAAUGGUUUUUAUCUGCUAUAGGAUAGGAUCGUGUUCGAUUAUGGUUGUUGGUGAGGUAAUGGCUCACCAAGCCGAUAAUCGAUAGGGGCCGUGAGAGCGGGAGCCCCGAGAUGGGUACUGAGACAACGACCCAGGCCUUACGAGGCGCAGCAGGCGCGAAACCUCCGCAAUACACGAAAGUGUGACGGGGUUACCCAAAGUGUUCAAUUUUGAACUGUGGUAGGUGAGUAAUGUUCCCUACUAGAAAGGAGAGGGCAAGGCUGGUGCCAGCCGCCGCGGUAAAACCAGCUCUUCAAGUGGUCGGGAUAAUUAUUGGGCUUAAAGUGUCCGUAGCCGGUUUAGUAAGUUCCUGGUAAAAUCGGGUAGCUUAACUAUCUAUAUGCUAGGAAUACUACUAUACUAGAGGGCGGGAGAGGUCUGAGGUACUACAGGGGUAGGGGUGAAAUCUUAUAAUCCUUGUUGGACCACCAGUGGCGAAGGCGUCAGACUGGAACGCGCCUGACGGUGAGGGACGAAAGCCAGGGGAGCGAACCGGAUUAGAUACCCGGGUAGUCCUGGCCGUAAACGAUGCAUACUAGGUGAUGGCACGGCCAUGAGCCGUGUCAGUGCCGUAGGGAAACCGUUAAGUGUGCCGCCUGGGAAGUACGGUCGCAAGGCUAAAACUUAAAGGAAUUGGCGGGGGAGCACCACAAGGGGUGAAGCCUGCGGUUCAAUUGGAUUCAACGCCGGGAA
rnacentral:rRNA from 1 species